UACGUAGGGUGCAAGCGUUGUCCGGAAUUAUUGGGCGUAAAGGGCUCGUAGGCGGUUAGUCGCGUCGGGAGUGAAAACUCAGGGCUCAACCCUGAGCGUGCUUCCGAUACGGGCUGACUAGAGGUAUGCAGGGGAGAACGGAAUUCCUGGUGUAGCGGUGGAAUGCGCAGAUAUCAGGAGGAACACCGGUGGCGAAGGCGGGUCUCUGGGCAACAACUGACGCUGAGGAGCGAAAGCGUGGGGAGCGAACAGG
rnacentral:rRNA from 1 species